rnacentral:rRNA from 1 species
AUUGACGCUGGCGGCGUGCUUAACACAUGCAAGUCGAACGAGUGGCGAACGGGUGAGUAAUGUCUGGAAAACUGCCUGAUGGAGGGGUAUAACUACGGGAAACGGUAGCUAAUACCGCAUAACAUCAGAUGUGCCCAGAUGGGAUUAGCUAGGCGGGGGGGUAAUGGUUCACCUAGGCGACGAUCCCUAGCUGGUCUGAGAGGAGUACCAGCCACACUGGAACUGAGACACGGUCCAGACUCCUACGGGAGGCAGCAGUGGGGAAUAUUGUACAAUGGGCGAAAGCCUGAUGCAGCCAGGCCGCGUGUGUGAAGAAGGCCUUCGGGUUGUAAAGCACUUUCAGCGAGGAGGCGUUACUCGCAGAAGAAGCACCGGCUAACUCCGUGCCAGCAGCCGCGGUAAUUC